rnacentral:rRNA from 1 species
AUUGAACGCUGGCGGCAGGCCUAACACAUGCAAGUCGAGCGGAUGAAGGGAGCUUGCUCCUUGGUUCAGCGGCCGACGGGUGAGUAAUUCCUAGGAAUCUGCCUGGUAGUGGGGGAUAACGUCCGGAAACGGGCGCUAUUACCGCAUACGUCCUGACGGAGAAAGGGGGGGAGCUUCGGACCUCACGCUAUCAGAUGAUCCUAGGUCGGAUUAGCUAGUUGGUGGGGUAAAGGCGUACCAAGGCGACGAUCCGUAACUGGUCUGAGAGGAUGAUCAGUCACACUGGAACUGAGACACGGUCCAGACUCCUACGGGAGGCAGCAGUGGGGAAUAUUGGACAAUGGGCGAAAGCCUGAUCCAGCAAUGCCGCGUGUGUGAAGAAGGUCUUCGGAUUGUAAAGCACUUUUAGUUGGGAGGAAGGGCAGUAAGUUAAUACCUCGCUGUUUUGACGUUACCAAAAGAAUAAGCACCGGCUAACUUCGUG